rnacentral:snRNA from 1 species
AUACUUACGUGGUGCCGGGUCCUCGUUAUCACCGAGGACGAGCCUCCAAGGCGGUCGAUUCACUGCGCUUGCGUUCACCCCUGCCACUACCCCAAACGGGGCAGAUGGAGCACGCAAUUUGUUUAAAUCCGGUUCAACGCUAAAAGAGGGCACCACCGCC